UGGGGAAUUUUGGACAAUGGACGCAAGUCUGAUCCAGCCAUGCCGCGUGCGGGAAGAAGGCCUUCGGGUUGUAAACCGCUUUUGUCAGGGAAGAAAUCUUCUGGGUUAAUACCUCGGGAGGAUGACGGUACCUGAAGAAUAAGCACCGGCUAACUACGUGCCAGCAGCCGCGGUAAUACGUAGGGUGCAAGCGUUAAUCGGAUUUACUGGGCGUAAAGCGUGCGUAGGCGGCUUUUUAAGUCGGAUGUGAAAUCCCCGAGCUUAACUUGGGAAUUGCAUUCGAGACUGGGAAGGUAGAGUAUGGGAGAGGAUGGAAGAGUUCCAGGUGUAGCGGUGAAAUGCGUAGAGAUGCGGAGGAACACCGAUGGCGAAGGCAAGCCCCUGGACCUGUACAGACGCUCAUGCACGAGAGCGUGGGGAGCAAGCA
rnacentral:rRNA from 1 species